rnacentral:piRNA from 1 species
UAAGCAUGGGGUAUUCAUGGCAGUAC